rnacentral:rRNA from 1 species
GACAGAGGCCCCGAGCGUUAGGCGGAAUCACUGGGCUUAAAGCGUGUGUAGGCGGGCCCGUAAGUGUCUUGUGAAAUCCCACGGCUCAACCGUGGAACUGCUGGGCAUACUGGGGGUCUUGGGCCAACUAGGGGCAGCCGGAACAAGCGGUGGAGCGGUGAAAUGCGUAGAUAUCGCUUGGAACGCCGAAGGUGAAAACAGGCUGCUGGGGUUGCGCCGACGCUGAGACACGAAAGCCAGGGGAGCAAACGGG